rnacentral:rRNA from 1 species
GUGCCAGCCGCCGCGGUAAUACGGAGGGUGCAAGCGUUGUCCGGAUUUAUUGGGUUUAAAGGGUGCGUAGGCGGCCUUAUAAGUCAGUGGUGAAAUUUUCCGGCUUAACAGGGAAAGUGCCAUUGAUACUGUAGGGCUUGAGUACAGUCGGGGUAGGCGGAAUUUAUGGUGUAGCGGUGAAAUGCAUAGAUACCAUAAGGAACACCGAUCGCGAAGGCAGCUUACUAGGCUGUAACUGACGCUGAUGCACGAAAGCGUGGGUAGCAAACAGGAUUAGAAACCCCUGUAGUCC